rnacentral:rRNA from 1 species
GACAGAGGAUGCAAGCGUUUAUCCGGAAUCACUGGGCGUAAAGCGUCUGUAGGUGGUCAAAUAAGUCAACUGUUAAAUCUUGAGGCUCAACCUCAAAAUCGCAGUCGAAACUAUUCGACUAGAGUAUAGUAGGGGUAAAGGGAAUUUCCAGUUGGAGCGGUGAAAUGACGUAGAGAUUGGAAAGAACACCGAUGGCGAAGGCACUUUACUGGGCUAUUACUAACACUGAGAGACGAAAGCUAGGGUAGCAAAUGGG